UGGGGAAUAUUGGGCAAUGGGCGAAAGCCUGACCCAGCAACGCCGCGUGAAGGAAGAAGGCCUUCGGGUUGUAAACUUCUUUUAUGAGGGAAGAAGGACGUGACGGUACCUCAUGAAUAAGCCACGGCUAACUACGUGCCAGCAGCCGCGGUAAUACGUAGGUGGCAAGCGUUGUCCGGAUUUACUGGGUGUAAAGGGCGCGUAGGCGGACUGGCAAGUCAGAUGUGAAAUCCAUGGGCUCAACUCAUGAACUGCAUUUGAAACUGUUGGUCUUGAGUGUCGGAGAGGCAAGCGGAAUUCCUAGUGUAGCGGUGAAAUGCGUAGAUAUUAGGAGGAACACCAGUGGCGAAGGCGGCUUGCUGGACGAUAACUGACGCUGAGGCGCGAAAGCGUGGGGAGCAAACA
rnacentral:rRNA from 1 species